rnacentral:rRNA from 1 species
AGCAGUAGGGAGUUUUCGGCAAUGGGGGGAACCCUGACCGAGCAACGCCGCGUGAACGAUGAAGGUCUUCGGAUCGUAAAGUUCUGUUGUAGCUAGGGAAAGCACGGGAGAGUGGAAAGCUCUCGUUUUGACCCAACUACCAGAAAGCCACGGCUAACUACGUGCCAGCAGCCGCGGUAAUACGUAGGUGGCAAGCGUUAUCCGGAAUUAUUGGGCGUAAAGAGUGAGCAGGCGGCCGUUUAAGUCUGAAGUCAAAUGCAGUGGCUCAACCACUGUCCGCUUUGGAAACUGGAUGGCUAGAGUACGAGAGAAGUAAGCGGAAUUCCAUGUGUAGCGGUGAAAUGCGUAGAUAUAUGGAGGAACACCAGAGGCGAAGGCGGCUUACUAGAUCGAUACUGACGCUCAGUCACGAAAGCGUGGGUAGCAAAUAGGAUUAGAUACCCUAGUAGUCCACGCCGUAAACGAUGAGAACUAGGUGUAGGGCUAAACCCUGUGCCGAAGCUAACGCAUUAAGUUCUCCGCCUGGGGAGUACGUUCGCAAGAAUGAAACUUAAAGGAAUUGACGGGGGCCCGCACAAGCAGUGGAGCAUGUGGUUUAAUUCGAAGCUACGCGAGGAACCUUACCAGGGCUUGACAUAGUGUCUAAGACUCUAGAGAUAGAGGGAUAAUAGGUACAUACAGGUGGUGCAUGGUUGUCGUCAGCUCGUGUCGUGAGAUGUUAGGUUAAGUCCUCCAACGAGCGCAACCCUUGUCCUUAGUUGCCAGCAUUUAGUUGGGGACUCUAGGGAGACCGCCGGCGUAAGCCGGAGGAAGGUGGGGAUGACGUCAAAUCAUCAUGCUC